UACAUGGGGUGCAAACGUUGCUCGGAAUCAUUGGGCGUAAAGCGCGCGUAGGCGGUUACUUAAGUUGGAUGUGAAAGCCCUCGGCUUAACCGAGGAAGUGCAUCCAAAACUGAGUAGCUAGAGUACGAAAGAGGGUCGCGGAAUUCCCGGUGUAGAGGUGAAAUUCGUAGAUAUUGGGAAGAACACCGGUGGCGAAGGCGGCGACCUGGUCCUUGACUGACGCUGAGGCGCGAAAGCGUGGGGAGCAAACAGG
rnacentral:rRNA from 1 species